GACGAACGCUGGCGGCGUGCUUAACACAUGCAAGUCGAACGGAAGGGCCCUGCUUUUGUGGGGUGCUCGAGUGGCGAACGGGUGAGUAACACGUGAGUAACCUGCCCUUGACUUUGGGAUAACUUCAGGAAACCGGGGCUAAUACCGGAUAGGAGCUCCUGCUGCAUGGUGGGGGUUGGAAAGUUUCGGCGGUUGGGGAUGGACUCGCGGCUUAUCAGCUUGUUGGUGGGGUAGUGGCUUACCAAGGCUUUGACGGGUAGCCGGCCUGAGAGGGUGACCGGCCACAUUGGGACUGAGAUACGGCCCAGACUCCUACGGGAGGCAGCAGUGGGGAAUAUUGCACAAUGGGCGGAAGCCUGAUGCAGCAACGCCGCGUGCGGGAUGACGGCCUUCGGGUUGUAAACCGCUUUCGCCUGUGACGAAGCGUGAGUGACGGUAAUGGGUAAAGAAGCACCGGCUAACUACGUG
rnacentral:rRNA from 1 species